UAAGGGCAGCGGUACCGGCAGCGGUACCGGCGGCUGGGCCUGCCGGCGGCUCGGGGUUGCCCCCUGCGGGAGGUGGCGUGUGGCCGCAGCGCCGCGGCAGCGCCGCUGCCGCUCCGGGCUUGCUCUCUGCGGCGAGUCGGCGGCGCCGUAGGUAGCAGAAGCCGCGGUGUUCUUUCUGGGAAACAUCGCGUCCGAGCGCUGGGCCGCGUCAUCGGUGUGGGGACCUCGUGAGACCGGGCAUGGCUGCGGGGAGGAGGAAGGAAACAUACACACAUGGUUUCACACACUAUGACAACUAAGAACAUCAAGCCUUCUCCCCUCAGGAAGAAUGAAGCCAGCUUCAUCCCUUCUCUCUCAAGCAUGAAUAAAAAUCUGCUGAUCUUACUGGAACAUCUUUAGAGCUCUACAGCUAGUCCUUUCACACCUCAGAGAGCCUAUCCAGCCUCCCUAAAAAUGCUGCAAUGGAAGUUUAUGUUCCAUCCAAUAGUCAAAUAACCACUGGCAAGUUAUUGUGUUGUACCAUGGCUAGCUUUUCAUGUACUCCUUCUGGAUAGAGGCAGAAACUAAAAUCAGCCUGAAAGAUAGCAGCAUGAGUGCUGUGCUUACUGUUUAGGUUUUUCUUUUUAUUAUCUAAAAUUUGCAUUUAAUAAGACUGGAAGGCAAUCAGGUCCUUAAAGUGAAAUCACAAUUCCCAGUAAAUACAGAAAAAAGAACAAGGCAGUGGAAGAUGAUGCCAGGUCCUGCACUUGAGUUAACAACAACCCCAUGCAACACUACAGGCUGGAUGGAGUGGCUGGAAAGCUGCCCAAAGGACCUGUGGGUGUUGGUCAAUAACUGGCUAAAUUUGAGCCAGCAGUGUGCCCAGGUGGCCAAGAAGGCCAACAGCAUCCUGGCUUGUAUUAGGAAUAGUGUGGCCAGCGGGAGUAGGGAAGAGAUCAUGCCCCUGUAGUCAGCACUGGUGAGACUGCACCUCAAGUACUGUCUUCAGUUCUGGGCCCCUUACUCCAGGAAGGACAUUGAAAUGAUUGAGCAUCUCCAGAGAAGGGCAACAAAGCUGGUGAAGGGUCUGGAGCACAAGUCUUAUUCGGAGCAUCUGAAGGAACUGGGGCUGUUUAGCUUGGAGAAAAGGAGGCUGAGAGGAGACCUUAUUGCUCUCUACAACUACCUGAAAGGACAUUGUAGUGGGGUGAUGGCUGGUCUCUUUUCCUGAGUUACAACUGAUAGAACAAGAGGAAAUGGCCUCAAGUUAUGCCAGGGGAGGUUUAGAUGGGCUAUCAGAAAAGAUUACUUCACCAAAAGGAUUGUCAGCAUUGGAACAGGCUGCCCAGGGAAGUGGUUGAGUCACCAUCCCUGGAGGUAUUAAAAGAUGUGUAGAUGUGGUGCUUAGAGACAUGGUUUAGUGUUGGGCUUGGCAGUGUGCUAGGUUUAUGGUUGGACUCAAUGAUCUGAAAGGUCUUUUCUAAUCUGAAUGAUUUUAUGAUUCUACUAUUCUAAAAUGGAUGAAAAUCACUAAUUUCAGUACUGAAAAAUCACAAUAAAAACAAAAUUCUCAAGUCUCUAGGGUCGCACCAUGUAAAUAACCAGGCAGUUUUAAAAAUUAUGAGAGACACUGAUGAAAUUGUGAAAAAGUUCAGAUUCAACCAGCACUUUCUGUUGUCCAUGAAAAUAAUUAGGACUAGUAAAAUGGAGGCCAAUUAAAGGAAUAGCACUGGUUCAGGGAUCAUUGAUUGCAUUUUGUGUAAGGAGAUAUAAAGAGGAACAUUGUUUUAAAAUGCCAGUGCAAAGGUAGGAAGAACAUUGCAUCCACAAGAAGAAAUGCUACCCAUUUUCUCAGCAAGAGUUCAGAAAAAAAAAAAGAGGAAGCAGGUUUUUUUCUCUGCCCUGAAGAGUUUUGUUGUUUUUUUGUUGUGGGGCUUUUGGUUGUGGGUUGGUGGUUUUUUUCUUUGUUUUGUUUUGUUUUUUUAAUCAGGAGUAUUCAUUAAUUAUCAGAAAACCCGUGAUUCAUUAAAGGAAGGGAUAUCUGAAAGACCGUAACAUCAAAAUCCCAAAGGCCUUUAAAAGUCACAGAUUAUGAUACUAAGCAACCCAUUUUAAACUAUUUCAGUAAAGAUGAGGAAAAAAUUAAAUAGCAAAGGAAAUAAAUAUGCCAAACAAUGUCAGCAAAACAGCUGACACGUGUAAUAGAAAAUGUUCAAAUGCCAAGCAGAAGCCCAGAAAAUGUAAUAUGAGCCCAACUAGUUCACAAAGUUGUACACACAAGGCAGGAAAGUUUGUGGGUUAAAGAUAGAAUGACAGGGAAUAAACUCCUCCUAAUCAGGAUAAAGGAAGAAAGUGCUAUUUCUGACAAUACCUAAUAAAAACAGGCACAAAUGGUUAAUAUUCUAAUGUAUAAAAGAGACAGAGCACCAUCAGGGACAGUGAAAGCAGAAAUAGAGAUAACUGAAAUAAAAUUAUUUACACCCUCCCUGACCUAUCGUUCUCCUAUCAUUAAGUCUAUAAGCUUUUCAGUUUAUCAGCUACAUUUUUAUGAGUUUAUGACAUCCCAUGCCCAUAUUUUAUGCCUCUUCUGUGCUAUAUUUGACUCAACCUGAGUUGCACCUACAUUUCAGUGUGCAAGGAUAUUCCAGAAAUUUAUUCUUCAGUGAUUAAAAUAUUCUGUCUUCUGUUUAAAAUUUGGUUGGACUAAUUUAUAGCCAUUUAUUUUUUGUCAAAUGCUACUGUUAAAGCACCAGCAUUAUAAUUCAGUUUUAAAGAUUUAUUUUUAGGAAGUCUCUGAAAUUUAUUUUUGGCUGAAUGUUUCUCAUGGGAGAGAGUCAGAUGUUGUCCAUGGAUAUCCCAUAAUAAAUAAUGCAAAUAUCUGCA